rnacentral:tRNA from 1 species
AAGGUUGUGGCUCAGUUGCAGAGCACUUGCCUAGCAUGUAUGAGGCACUGGGUUCAAUUCUCAGCACCACUU